UACGUAGGGUGCAAGCGUUAAUCGGAAUUACUGGGCGUAAAGCGUGCGCAGGCGGUUUUGUAAGACUGUCGUGAAAUCCCCGGGCUCAACCUGGGAAUGGCGAUGGUGACUGCAAGGCUAGAGUUUGGCAGAGGGGGGUAGAAUUCCACGUGUAGCAGUGAAAUGCGUAGAUAUGUGGAGGAACACCGAUGGCGAAGGCAGCCCCCUGGGUCACAACUGACGCUCAUGCACGAAAGCUAGGGGAGCGAAUGGG
rnacentral:rRNA from 1 species